GCAUACAAUAAGCGGAGGAAAAGAAACCAACAGGGAUUGCCUUCAGUAACGGCGAAGUGAAAGCGGCAAAAGCUCAAAUUUGAAAUCUGGCUCCUUCGGGGUCCGAGUUGUAAUUUGGAGAGGAUGCUCUGGGAGUGGUCGCGGUCUAAGUCCCCUGGAACGGGGCGUCGCAGAGGGUGAGAAUCCCGUCUUCGGCCGGCCGGCUGCAACCGUGUAGAGCUCCUUCGACGAGUCGAGUUGUUUGGGAAUGCAGCUCUAAAUGGGUGGUAAAUUUCAUCUAAAGCUAAAUACUGGUCGGAGACCGAUAGCGCACAAGUAGAGUGAUCGAAAGAUGAAAAGCACUUUGAAAAGAGAGUUAAACAGCAUGUGAAAUUGUUGAAAGGGAAGCACAUGCGACCAGAGUCGGCCGUGGGGGUUCAGCAGGGGUCCUCCCCUGUGUAUUCCCCUGCGGUCGGGCCAGCAUCAGUUCUGGCGGCCGGUUAAAGGCUUCGGGAAUGUAUCCUCCUCCGGGAGGUCUUAUAGCCCGAGGUGCAAUGCGGCCAGUCGGGACUGAGGAACGCGCUUCGGCACGGAUGCUGGCUUAAUGGUCGUUUGUGGCCCGUCUUGAAACACGGACCAAGGAGUCUAACAUCCACGCGAGUGUUAGGGUGUCAAACCCUUCCGCGCAGUGAAAGCGAACGGAGGUGAGAGCCCCUUGAGGGUGCAUCAUCGACCGAUCCUGAAGUCUUCGGAUGGAUUUGAGUAUGAGCGUGGCUGUUGGGACCCGAAAGAUGGUGAACUAUGCCUGAAUAGGGUGAAGCCAGAGGAAACUCUGGUGGAGGCUCGCAGCGGUUCUGACGUGCAAAUCGAUCGUCAAAUUUGGGUAUAGGGGGCGAAAGACUAAUCGAACCAUCUGGUAGCUGGUUCUGC
rnacentral:rRNA from 1 species